rnacentral:rRNA from 1 species
GACAGAGGGGGCAAGCGUUGUCCGGACUUACUGGGCGUAAAGCGUCCGCAGGCGGCACGGCAAGUGUGGUGUGAAACCACCCGGCUUAACUGGGUGACGCCACCGCAGACUGCCGCGCUCGAGGGGUGCAGAGGUGGGUGGAAUUGCCGGUGUAGUGGUGAAAUGCGUAGAGAUCGGCAGGAACACCAAGGGGGAAGCCAGCCCACUGGGCACACCCUGACGCUCAUGGACGACAGCGUGGGGAG